GCAUGUUGGGGGUGCAUCCAUGGGCCUUCAUCGAGUCGUCAGCCGCCGGCCGUCGGUCGGAUGAUGUGGAGGCUGGAGGUAAUUGGGUCACUGCCGCUACUGCCCUCUUCGUCGUCCUCCCCAACCUCGGAUCCUCUGCAUUUGAGGGUGUAGGGCAAAUCUCUGGCGACCAUCCCCCGUCAGAUCCCUCCAUCCCCCCUGCUUGCGCCUCUCGUCAAUCUGUGGCGUCUCAUCGGCUGCUCACUGGUGGGGGUGAGGGAGGGAUGAGUUUGGAUGGUGGGGGAUGAACUUCAGUGUUGAUGGCGAGAGUUUUGCUGCCAUCAUAGCUGCACCAUUUGUGAACGCGGCGUAGACGGCGGGGUCGACGACAGGAGCAUCGCAUUCGUCACUAAGAACAUCAGUGAGGAAGAUAUGCCUUGUUCUAUUACAUCAGGAGGGUUGAAUAGGACGGCAUAGAGCCUCUAGCAUGGCCUUGACGCCUGGAAUCUGCCAUAUUCUGCUUCCAUGUUGUGUUGUAUUGAAGAAGAUAUUGAGUGAUGUUACUACAUACUAGGUUGCUAAUCCUAGGCCGCGGGCGAUGACGACGGCGCCGGCGCCGGCGCCAGCACCGGCGGGGUGGCUGCUCGGCUGUGGUAGGCGCGGAGCGACCGAGGCGGAUGGAGACCGCGGGCGACGACGUGGUGGGCUGGGGCUCCUCGCCACGUCGGUGCGGCGUGAAUGCUCUUAUUCACAUGAGUGAUUACAAGUGACUAACACCUGUCACACCAAUUGAGAAAUCAUAUCACAUGCAGCAUCAAGUGCCCUACUUAUUACUCUAUUUCCUUGUCAUACUUUUGUGGCAGCUUUGUCCUAUUUAGUACUGUUAUAUACCAUGAAUUGUUUGUCAAAUAUCUCUUGAU